AUGUUUAAGUUUGAUGGUUGAAAUUUUGAUUUACACCCACCAGUGCAGGAUGAUGUCACUGUUUAAGAUGCUCUGUUUUGCAAGAAGUAGAAGUCAUGUGAGGUCAUUUCAUGGGGACUUUAAGGCUCUUUCUUUUUUGACAUCACUGGUCACCUUAAAGGACCACACCAGUAAUUUUGCUUAUUUAUCCUAAUAACUGUCAUGUGAAGCUGAACAUGUGAGAGACAUUUACCGGAACGUGGAUCAAACAGGCAGGUGCUGGUCUGGCCGGUGUCGGGGGGUGUCGGGCUCUGGAGCAGCCCCAUUUUUCAGAAGCUGGCGCCCAGCUGGAGUUGAAGGCUCAAUCAGGUCUCUGCACGGCCCUGCUGCUCCUCCCUGUCAGUCAACAGAGAUGAGAAGAGGAAAUUGGGUUUAUUUUGUUGGGCUUUCCAUGUAAAUUUGUCUUGUAAUUUCCAAGUAAAAGAAUCUAGUUUGAA